AAGUGGAUUAGUGGCGCACGGGUGAGUAAUGCAUAGGUUAUGUGCCCUUUAGUCUGGGAUAGCCACUGGAAACGGUGAUUAAUACUGGAUACUCCCUACGGGGGAAAGUUUUUCGCUAAAGGAUCAGCCUAUGUCCUAUCAGCUUGUUGGUGAGGUAAUGGCUCACCAAGGCUACGACGGGUAUCCGGCCUGAGAGGGUGAUCGGACACACUGGAACUGAGACACGGUCCAGACUCCUACGGGAGGCAGCAGUAGGGAAUAUUGCUCAAUGGGGGAAACCCUGAAGCAGCAACGCCGCGUGGAGGAUGAAGGUUUUAGGAUUGUAAACUCCUUUUGUAAGAGAAGAUU
rnacentral:rRNA from 1 species